AUAAAAAAAGAAAGAAAGAAAGAAAAUGUCACCAUAUUCUAGAGAAUCUAAAACAAAACAAAACCUAAAAGUAACUCAGGGGUUUGGUUAGGUCUCUUUCGUCCACAGCACGCCUCCUGCUUCUGCUGUCCCAGUGAGAAGAUGGACAGCAUUCAGAACUUUUUCUGAGGAGCAGAAGGGAGGCUCUCUCAUCUAUACAUCACAAGCAACAGACUGCUGCCAGCCCUUCCUCCACCAGUCCUAACAGGAAGGUCUUCUGGAGUGCUUAUUGUGGAACCUAUUGUGUGAGACCAAAGGCUUGACGAUGAGAGAGAAAAAGAGAUGUCUGCAACUCUACAAAGGAAAGCAGGCAUGUCUACACGUAACUGUAGACAAGGGACUCAGUGUUGUAUGCAGUACAGUGCUGAAGGGGAGAGGUAAGUUCUCUAGGGAAGCUGGCGGGAGAUGAGAGUCACUAGAAGCUGUCAUUUAAGAUGACCUCUGAAGAUGUGUUGUUCAUCAGCAAGGAACGUAGUACGGACGGAAGGCACCUUUGAGGGAACAGGCUCUGGUGACCAGCAGAAACAAUUUAACAUCCCACAUUUUCUAGCUAAGCGUGACACUUUGAAGUCUAAAGGGUCUUUAAAGGAAUGGGCAGCAAGGGACUCUGAACUGUAGUGGGACAAAAGGACUCUUUUUUUUUUUUUUUUUUAUUUAAGUGCAGAUGCUUUUGAGCCGUGUCCAUUGAGUGCUCUUUGGAAUUCUGCAUCCUUUCCAGGUAGCUGCUCCGCUAUCUUUUCUCCUCCCAGUUUUUCGCAGGGCUCACUUGUGUUCAUUCGCACCCAUGUGCUGACACUGACUGGAUCCAGGGCAUCGCUGGCUUGCCGGUGCUGAUGAACAGUCCCUGUUCUCUGUUUCGGAUUCUUUUAUUAUUGGCUUUCAUUUUGCUACCGGCAGCCUAAUAUCCCGUGCCCCUGGGUCUGUACUGUUCUUUUUCAUAACGCUUAAUGAAUGUUAGAACCAGCUUCACAAAUGCAUUGCCUGAGCCUAUUGCCUGAAGUGAGAUGCUUUUAAUAUUUUCUCCACAUGUGAACUCCGUGUUUCCCUUAGCCAUUCUUUGAUUUCCGUGUGGUUAAUCUCUUGCUCCUGCAGGAAGCCUGGAUCUUCAGUGAUUUGCCUUUGGAAUUCCGUGAAUACAUCAAUCACAAGAAAUGGUCUUUUCACCAAAUGUACUAAGUUACAUUUAUAUAAAAUAUACCCUUGUUUUAUAUCACUAUUGGUGUUAGUGAUAAUUUUUGGGACUUGGAAAACUUGUCACCACAAAGUAACAAGUAGACCCAGUAGGCUAAAGAUUGAAUGACAUGUGUCACGAUGAUCACUCUCAAGUUUAAAUCAUUGAGCCAGGACCAGGAGCCUCUUAAAAAUGUUUGAGUGUGUGUGAGUGUGUGUAUGUGUUCCUAAAUGUCUCAAUAAAUAAUGAGAUGGACAGCUUUCAGCAGUACCCUGUACUUCUGAGACACUGGGCACAAUCUUCCUUCCAUAGGACACUAGGAUCCGGUACUAUCUUCCCUGUCAUGUCACUGCUCAUUCAUGGUUCUGAGUAGAAGCUGCAGACACCUGUGACAUUUCCAGGCUUCUGGUUGUACGUUUCUUUCUAUUUCUUUACUGCCCUGCUUGACUGUAGUCACAUUUGGGAGCACUUACAUACUUGCUUCCAAAGUACAAUUUUGUGUCUUUUUUUUCUAUAGUGAAUUCUGGAAGAUUUUAAAAAAUUAAUUCUUUGAGAAUUUUAUACAAUAUAUUUUGGUCAUACUCACUCCAACUAUACCCCCUAACUCUUCCCAGGUCUCUCCCCAUAUCUCUACCCCUACAUCAUGUCUUCUUUUUUUUAAUAAUUUAAUAACUCAUUGACUCCAAUUUGUUCUGUCCAUAUACUUCUGGAUGUGGGACCAUCCGUUGCAGCAUUAUUGACCCACUAGCCAUAUCACCCUAAAAGAAAACCAACUCUCCCUUCCCCAGAAUAAAGCCAGUGUCUAUAAUCAUCUCUCAAUUAGAGAUGUGGCUCAUGAACUCAUUUUCACUCCAUGCUAGAAUUUUGAUUGGAUUGAUAUUGUGUAGGGUACUGCAGCUGCUUUGAGUUUGAGCACAGUGGUCUUAUGUCCAGAAGACAGUUUUUACUUCAAUCCUCCCAAACCUCUGGCUCUUCCUAUCUUCUACCACCCUCUUCUAUGAUGGUCUCUGAGCCUUGGGUAGGGACUGUGGUAUAGAUGUCCCAUUUGGGGCUGGUACAUUUUCAGUCACCUACUAUCUAAACUUUGACCAGUUAGGUGUUUCUGUCUUAGAAACUACUUACUGCACAAAGAAAUUUCUCAGAUGAGAUCUUAGAGCUGAACUAAAGUAUAGGUGGAGAAAUGCCAACUUAGAAAGAAGGCAGUUUGAUACUAUGCCUACUUAGAAAAAUAACAGUAGUAGGUGUACCCUGGGGCUCAUGAGCUUCAUGGCUUCUUGGUCAGAUUUUUAUCUGAAAAAGAUGUGUAUCUGAUUGGGCAUGUACGUCCUUUUGUGGAGUGGGCCUUAAAUCCAAUCAUAAAUGUGAGGAGCGGGUGUGGCCGCGGGCCCAAGAUGGCGCCCAGGACUGCUGCCAAGUCUUAUGACUAGACCUGACUUCCUCAUAUCCCUCAAGAUAGCCACGUACCUUGAGCUGCAUUGUGCAGAUGCACCACGACGUAAGAUCGGAUGAUGUGACGAAUGUAGUCCUGAGCCUAUGUGGACUGUGCCUAUGUGGACUGGGGUGAUGGGGAGUGGACUAGAGGGUAUAAAGGGGGAUGGCCAAGACAGGUCGGAGCAACUUUUUCCUGCACAUUGUUAAGUUCCUGAAUAAACUGCUUUGAGAAGGGAAUCGGUUUCGUUGCUUCUUUUCUGCUGGUCAGAGAUGGUAGCGACACAUAAAUUGGGUUGUUACCUCUAUAACAUUCAAGCCACUGUUGCAGUUCACAGGAUUUGUGGCUAGGAAAGACAUUGAUGUUUCUCCCUAGCAGCCCAUACAGCACAUUUGGCGGUAUGAAAACUACUUAGAAGGGAAGAAACUUCCCUAUUAUACCAGUAUAUGUAGUGUCUUCCACAACAGGGUCUUACCAUCAACUUUUAGUGGGUAAGCAAGAGCUAUGGCAAUGUCUUAUAUUGUUUUGGAGAUCUCUGAGACACCGCUGACCACCAACCUGAGGGAAGGUAUCCAACAUCUGGCACUGGGCCUUUAAUUUGGUGAUCUAUGACUUCAGGGAUGAGCACAAUUUAUGUAGGCUAACUCCAAUUAAACCCACCUAUCAUCCAUCUAUCUAUCUAUCUAUCUAUCUAUCUAUCUAUCUAUCUAUCUAUCAUCUAUCUAUCUAUCUAUCUAUCUAUCUAUCUAUCUAUCUAUCUAUCAAUCAUCUACCAUCUAUCAACCAUUAUAUAUUUAUCAUCUCUCUUUCUAUAUAUACAUAUAUAUAUCAUCUAUCAAUCCAUCUAUCAAUCAUCUAUCUACCAAUCUACCAUCUAUCAUUUCUAUCUAUUUAUCAAUCAUCUAUCAUCUAUCUAUCUAUCUAUCAUCUAUCUAUCUAUCUAUCUAUCUAUCUAUCUAUCUAUCUAUCUAUCUAUCACCACCUAUCUAUUAUCUUCCCUCAAUCAAUCAAUCUAUCUAUCUAUCUAUCUAUCUAUCUAUCUAUCUAUCUAUCUAUUGAUAUAUCAUCUAUCAAUCAUCUAUCACCUAUAUCUAUCCAUUAUCUUUUUAUCUAUAUAUCAUCAUUUAAGAAGCUUAUACAAUAGGUUUUUAUAUAGCAUUUUCAAAAAUCUUUAGUUUGUUAUUUCUCCCUAAACUCCUUCUCAUUAUUCCUUUUUCCCUCUCCACCUGUGUUCUACUAUCCCCACCUUCCUUAAAAUCUUUCUUCUCACUUUGGACCAAUGGUUCCUGUUGGGAAUUGGUUCUAAUGCUUUGUCUUAUUUCCGCUUCCAAAAGCCACCCUUCCAAACCCGAGGGUCCCUGGCCCCAGCUGACUUCCAUUGGUAAUAAAGAAUUUCUGUAUAUCCAAUGUCUGGGGAGGGAGAUGGAGCGGGACAAAGGACUGAUGGCAUGUAAGAAUCCAGAAAAGUGGCCCUAGGGGCCACUCCCCCACUUGUGUCUGGGUAGCAGACAUGAAAAAUAGAUUUUAAAAGAUAUUAACUCAGGAAUACCAGAGGGGAGUGUUUGCUAGCCAGGGAGGUUUAGAAGUGCGCAGCCAUUGAACUAGUCAAGGCAUCUCAAAAUUAGUAUGUGUGUCUGUCCUUCAUUCAUGAAUCCAGAGCGCUUGGGCAGGUGCAGCAUGCGCAGCCCACCAGAAGCCAAAUUGGAUUAACCAAUUGGCUACAGGUCCCUUUCUACUUUUCUGGAUUUCUAGUUUUCUACAGGUAUUCCAAAUUAAAUACACAAAUCUAAAUAUUUAAUACUAAAAUCCACAUAUGAGUUAGGAUAUAUCGCAGUUAGUUGUCUUUCUGAGACUUGAUUACCUCACACAGAAUAAAGUUUUCCAGUCCCAUCCUGAAAUUUUCUCCUUUCUUUGUAGCCGAAUACAAUUCCAUUAUUCAUUGGUACUGCAUUUUUGUUAUUCGUUCAUCUGCUGGUGGACAUCUUGCCUGAUUCCAUGUCCUAACUAUUGUGAACAGAGGAUCUAUGAACAUGAUGAGCAUGUGUCUUAUUUAUUUGGUGUCUACUGCUAUGGUAAAUACCAUGACCAUAAACAACUUGGGGAAGAAAAGGUUUAAUUGGCUUACACCUCUAUCACAGUCCAUCAUCUAGGGAUGCCAAGGAAGGAACUCAAGACCGGAACCUGGAGGCAGGAACUGAACAGAGGCCAUAAAAGCAUGGUGCUUAAGGAGUAGCUCCUCGUGACUUGCUCAUUUUUUUUUUUUUUAAAUGCAAGGUGACCCUACCCACUAUUGGCUGGGCACUCUCAUAAUGAAAUGCCCAACAGGCGAAUCUUUCCCCAGUUGAUGUUCAUUUUUUCCAGAUGACUCCAGCUUUUGUCAAGUUGCCAAAAACAUAACUAACCCAGCUUAUGUCUCUGUAGUAAGAAACAGAGUCCUUUGGAUAAGCACACAGGGUCACAGGGUAGAUUUAGUUCUACAUUUCUGAGGAACUGUCAUCAUACCGGUUCCCACAGUGAGACACCAACCUGCACACCAGCCAGCAGCGUGUGAGGAUUGUCUGUUCUCCACAGCCUCCCCAGCUUUGCUGUCUUUUGUUUUCUUAGUCUUAGCUAUUCUGAUUGGGGUAAAAUAAAAUCUCCAAUUAGUUUAUUUGCGUUUUACUGACAGUGUUUGAAUUCCUUGUAUAUUCUAGACUCUGAUCUCCCUUGGUUAGAUCUAUAGCUGCUCUCAUGAUUUAGCCAUCUCUACUUCUAUGUUUCCUUCCUUUGAAGACAUGCUUUAUAAAAAUCUGUAUUUCAGGAUCUCUGAAACUAAGAUGCAUACAUAAUUCAGUGACUGUCAGACUCCACUGGCAGCAGUUUUACUUUUUCUUUUUUUUUUCUUUUAGUGUUGCAAAAAUUAUCUUAUCAGUGCCCACAUUUUCAUAAAGUUUUGUUCUUCUAAAGACAGACAAUGGAAGUCAUUUAUUGUGUCAGUGGCCUCAAGUGUUUUACGAAGUGUGCAUUCCUGCACAUUCUGAGCUUGUCUCUUUUCUGAGGUUUUCUUUGCUAGCCUAUCAUCUAACUUAUCUAUUCAUUCAUCCAUCAUAUCACUCAUUCAUUCAUUUUCAAUUACUAGUGGGAGAUAAUGUUCUAACUAUAAUAUAUAGUUAUGUAAUAUAUAUUAAUAUAAACUAGAUAACUAGUAUAUUACAUAUUAUAAAGUAAAAUAUGAGUGAUUUUGAAAUAUGUACCCCCUUUCCUAAAAUUUUAUGUACAUGAUUUUAUACCUGGUUUGGCCAAGACACCUUUUGGUAGCCAUGUUUGGGAAAUGAGAAACUGAGAGAUGAGGACUGAAUCCAGGGCUUUUAUAACUAGCAUGAAAAGAAUUGCCUCUCCGGCUGGUGAGAUGGCUCAAAGGGCAAGAGCACUCACUGCUCUUCCAAAGGUCCUGAGUUCAAAUCCCAGCAACCACAUGGUGGUUCCCAACCACCCAUAAUGAGAUCUGAUGCCCUCUUCUGGUGUGUCAGAAGACAGCUACAGUGUACAUUUUAUAAUAAUAAAUAAAUCUUUGGGCCAGAGCGAGCAGGGACUGAGUGAGCAGGGUUGACCUGAGUGAAUGGGGCUGACCGGAGCGAGCAGAGGUCCUAAAUACAAUUCCCGACAACCACAUGAAGGCUCACAACCAACCAUCUGUACAGCUACAAUGUACUCAUAUACAUAAAAAUCAUAUACAUAGAUAUGAGUCUGGGGUUCUGUUAAGUUAAUUAGGGUAAAAAAUUAAAUAAAUAAAUCUGAAAAAAAAA